rnacentral:lncRNA from 1 species
AACUUAUCAAAUAGUUCAAUGACCCCUUUUUCAAUUAAAGUUAUCAAUUAUAUAAUUCUUUCACUACAACAAAAAUGGUCUAUAGCGACACUUUUAAAUGUAGGUACAUGUCAAAAAAGUGCUGCUAACUAAAAUUACUGACACUUUUAAAAAAUGUUGCUAUAUGUGGGGUCGCUAGGUAUAUAGUGACAGUUAAAGAGUGUCGCUAUAACCUAAAAGAGUGCUGCUAAUUUACCAACACUUAUUUAAGCAUUUAGCAACCGCCGAAACUCUAUCUCGUUGGCUGCGGUGGCGGAGAAGGACGACAGGAAAUGCUCUUCGUCUAGAAUUUCAGUGGAUUGAGUGAAGAGAGAAGAAAAGAUGGUAAUUGAUUUUUCUUUUUUUUCUUUUCUGUUUGUAAUCGGGUCAAAUGGACUGGGUGUGGUGGGUUGAGUAGAGUAAUCUUUUAUUUUUAGUUGGAUUGGGCUUUAUAUUUAGGCAUAAGUAGAUGUUUUUUUAAAUUUUAGCAUAAAUGGGACACUUACUCAAAAGUGUCCCAAACAUGUGUCCCUAUAACCUAAUUCUGUUGUAGUGUUUGGUCGUAUGUAGAGCAUAUAGUUUUGUAAAGGUUCAAAACGUAA